rnacentral:rRNA from 1 species
UGGGGAAUAUUGGACAAUGGGCGCAAGCCUGAUCCAGCCAUGCCGCGUGGGUGAUGAAGGCCCUAGGGUUGUAAAGCCCUUUCGACGGGGAAGAUAAUGACGGUACCCGCAGAAGAGGCCCCGGCUAACUUCGUGCCAGCAGCCGCGGUAAUACGAGGGGGGCUAGCGUUGCUCGGAAUCACUGGGCGUAAAGGGUGCGUAGGCGGGUCUUUAAGUCAGGGGUGAAAUCCUGGAGCUCAACUCCAGAACUGCCUUUGAUACUGAGGAUCUUGAGUUCGGGAGAGGUGAGUGGAACUGCGAGUGUAGAGGUGAAAUUCGUAGAUAUUCGCAAGAACACCAGUGGCGAAGGCGGCUCACUGGCCCGAUACUGACGCUGAGGCACGAAAGCGUGGGGAGCAAACA